UUAUCUCUGUAGAGUCUGCAUAUCAAUAAGCGGAGGAAAAGAAACUAACAAGGAUUCCCCUAGUAACGGCGAGUGAAGCGGGAAGAGCUCAAAUUUGAAAUCUUCAAGGUUUGACCUUGACGAAUUGUAGCUUUAAAAGAAGUGUUUUCGGUUAGAGGAGUAGUAAAAGUUCUUUGGGAAUAGGACAUCAUAGAGGGUGAGAAUCCCGUAUUUGACUAUUCUUUCUAGCUUUGUGAUACACUUUCAAAGAGUCGGAUUGUUUGGGGAAUGCAGUCCAAAAUGGGUGGUAAAUUUCAUCUAAAGCUAAAUAUUGGCGAGAGACCGAUAGCGAACAAGUACCGUGAGGGAAAGAUGAAAAGAACUUUGAAAAGAGAGUUAAACAGUACGUGAAAUUGUCAAAAGGGAAGCGUUUGACACCAGUGUUGUUUUUCCGAAAAUCAAUUAAAAAUUGAUUCAUGCCAGGUUGUAUUGACCUUAUCAGCUUGCAAUUUGGUUUUGGGUCUCUUUUUGAUGCACUUUUCGGUUAACAAGUCAACAUCAAUUUCCUUUGCUGUAAAAAGGUAAGAGGAAGGUGGCUUCAAUUUCGGUUGAAGUGUUUAUAGCCUUUUAUCUCUGCAGUCGGGGAGAUUGAGGUCUGCAGCGUAGAUCCUUCGGGGCUAGAUACAUUUAUGCUAAGUUAUAGCUUUUCAUAGACAACUUGUUGACUAUGUUUAGUCAUGUAGCUUACUCGUAAGUGCUAUUUUACCUACGCUUAGGAUGUUGAAGACUCUACAGAGAUA
rnacentral:rRNA from 1 species